rnacentral:lncRNA from 12 species
ACACUUGUUUUUUAAAAAGCCCAGGAUCCAAAUCAUUUUUAGGGAUUAUAAAUUAGCCACCCCCCACCCCACCCCCCAGCAGGCCCGUGGUCCAGACCGCCGCAGUCCCAGUCCGGGACUUCCAGAUGAGCUAAUUAACUUUUAGGGCGAAAAAAGAAAAAAAGAUCUGCUAUAGAUUGAGUCGUGCGUGAAAUUGCUGAUAAGUUCUGACACGUUAAUGCAUCUGCCUUUGAUUCUGAAUUGUAGCAUAAACGUGUUGAACGAAAGUUGCUGUUUUAAGUUGCUGCUCAAAAAAAGAAAGAAAAAAAAAGGACGGGGGCCGUUUCUCCUUAAGAUGGUCUAACAUCGCCUUUUAUCCCCCUUUCUCUCGCAGGCUUCUGAAUUCCCUUCUGAGUUAAUGUCAAAUGACAGCAAAGCGCUCUGUGGCUGAAUAAAUGAAAAAAUACCAGCCGCUUACUACGAAGGUGGCAGAGGGAAAUGUGCGUCGGCUUGCUGUGCCACACGUUAUGCCCUGGCUCUCCCCUGCUGCUGCUCCGGUACUACGAGGUGUUCGUGACUUUUCUUUUUCUUUGCACAACAACAACGAAUCCACAGAAUCUUUUAAGGCGCUGAACUUCUUAUUUUUCGACCAUUUCACAAGGAGAACAACAAGUUGAAUGGACCUUUUUAAAAAAAAAAUGGAAGGAAAACUAAGAAUGAUCAUCUUCCCCAGGGUGUUCUCUGACCUGGACUGUGAUAUUAGUUAUUUAUGAAAAAGACUUUUAAAUGCCCUUUCUGCAGUUGGAAGGUUUUCUUUAUAUACUAUUCCCACCAUGGGGAGCGAAAAACGUUAAAAUCACAAGGAAUUUCCCAAUUUAAGCAGACUUUGCCUUUUUUCAAAGGUGGAGCGUGAAUACCAGAAGGAUCCAGUAUUCAGUUACUUAAAUGAAGUCUUUUGGUCAGAAAUUACCUUUUUGACGCAAGCCUACUGAAUGCUGUGUAUAUAUUUAUAUAUAAAUAUAUAUAUAUAUGGAGUGAAACCUUGUGAACUCUUUAAUUAGAGUUUUCUUGUAUAGUGGCAGAGAUGUGUAUUUCUGCAUACAAAGUGUAAUGAUGUACUUAUUCAUGCUAAACUUUUUAUAAAAGUUUAGUUGUAAACUUAACCCUUUUAUACAAAAUAAAUCGUGUGUUUAUUGAAUGGUGAUUGCCUGC